UACGGAGGGCGCAAGCGUUGUUCGGAAUCAUUGGGCGUAAAGCGCGUGCAGGCGGCUUGGUAAGUCGGGGGUGAAAUCCCGGGGCUCAACCCCGGAACUGCACCCGAAACUGCCUCGCUCGAGUCCCGGAGAGGAUGGCGGAAUUUCCGGUGUAGAGGUGAAAUUCGUAGAUAUCGGAAGGAACACCAGCGGCGAAGGCGGCCAUCUGGACGGUGACUGACGCUCAGACGCGAAAGCGUGGGGAGCAAACAGG
rnacentral:rRNA from 1 species